AUGUACCGCGGGUAUCUCGUCCUCACUGCCUUCCUGGGGCAACUGCUGGAAACCAUGGGUCAGGUGUCUGUCACCCAGCAAGAAGGACAAGUCACCGUGGAGCAGAGAAACACCUUCCAGACCACUUGCACGUACCAGAGCUCCAGCUUUUAUGGUUUGCUCUGGUACCAGCAGAAGAAGGGCCAAGGCCCUCAGCUAAUUUCAAAUCAAGCAAUAGCAGGCACCAAGCAGAGCGUCCGUUUCACCACAGAGCUGAACAUCACGGGGAAAUACAGUGUUCUGCAGCUGAAAGAAGUUGAGCUCUCUGACAGCUCCUUGUACCUCUGUGCUGUGGAAGGCAGCGCAAGACUCAGCCUUGGUCGAGGCCUGAGGAGAGGUUCCCCCAUCCUCACCCCGUGGACCAAUAACCCCAUCCUCCAUCCUGUUCCUGUGGCACUGGCAGCGUGA